rnacentral:rRNA from 1 species
UGCUCGGCGCGCCUUACCUUGGAACGGCCUACCCUGUAGCGCCUUACCCUGGAACGGCUUACCCUGCAACGGCUGCCGGUGGACUACCAAACUCUUGUUAUUUUAUGGUUAUCUGAGCGUCUUAUUUUAAUAAGUCAAAACUUUCAACAACGGAUCUCUUGGUUCUGGCAUCGAUGAAGAACGCAGCGAAAUGCGAUAAGUAAUGUGAAUUGCAGAAUUCAGUGAAUCAUCGAAUCUUUGAACGCACAUUGCGCCCAUUAGUAUUCUAGUGGGCAUGCCUGUUCGAGCGUCAUUUCAACCCUUAAGCCUAGCUUAGUGUUGGGAGCCUACUGCUUUUGCUAGCUGUAGCUCCUGAAAUACAACGGCGGAUCUGCGAUAUCCUCUGAGCGUAGUAAUUUUUAUCUCGCUUUUGACUGGAGUUGCAGCGUCUUUAGCCGCUAAACCCCCCAAUUUUUAAUGGUUGACCUCGGAUCAGGUAGGAAUACCCGCUGAACU